rfam:Candidatus Schekmanbacteria bacterium GWA2_38_11 gwa2_scaffold_60517, whole genome shotgun sequence.
UCCGAAAAUGGCAAACCCUGUGAGAGCAGGGGGCGCAAAACCAACGGAUCCUGACAAUGGUUCAGGAUGGCCGGGUUGCCGAAG